AGCAGCCGCGGUAAUUCCAGCUCCAAUAGCGUAUAUUAAAGUUGUUGCAGUUAAAAAGCUCGUAGUUGAAUUUCGGGGUUAGUAGGUUGGUCAUGCCUCUGGUAUGUACUGGUCUCACUGAUUCCUCCUUCCUGAUGAUCCGUAAUGCCAUUUAUUUGGUGUUGCGGGGAAUUUGGACUGUUACUUUGAAAAAAUUAGAGUGUUUAAAGCAAGCUAACGCUUGAAUACAUUAGCAUGGAAUAAUGAAAUAGGACGUUCGAUCCUAUUUUGUUGGUUUCUAGGAUUGACGUAAUGAUUAAUAGGGAUAGUUGGGGGCAUUAGUAUUCAAUUGUCAGAGGUGAAAUUCUUGGAUUUAUUGAAGACUAACUACUGCGAAAGCAUUUGCCAAGGAUGUUUUCAUUAAUCAAGAACGAAAGUUAGGGGAUCGAAGACGAUCAGAUACCGUCGUAGUCUUAACCAUAAACUAUGCCGACUAGGGAUCGGAUGAUGUUAAUUUUUAAUGACUCAUUCGGCGCCUUAA
rnacentral:rRNA from 1 species